GCCUACGGGGGGCAGCAGUGGGGAAUAUUGCACAAUGGGGGAAACCCUGAUGCAGCAACGCCGCGUGAAGGAAGAAGGCCUUCGGGUUGUAAACUUCUUUGACAGGGGACGAACAAUGACGGUACCCUGAAAACAAGCCACGGCUAACUACGUGCCAGCAGCCGCGGUAAUACGUAGGUGGCAAGCGUUGUCCGGAAUUACUGGGUGUAAAGGGCGUGUAGAAGGGGUUAUAAGUCAGAUGUGAAAUUCCCAGGCUCAACUUGGGCGCUGCAUCUGAAACUGUAACUCUUGAGUGUCGGAGAGGAAAGCGGAAUUCCUAGUGUAGCGGUGAAAUGCGUAGAUAUUAGGAGGAACACCAGUGGCGAAGGCGGCUUUCUGGACGAUAACUGACGUUGAGGCGCGAAAGCGUGGGGAGCAAACAGGAUUAGAUACCCUAGUAGUCCC
rnacentral:rRNA from 1 species